rnacentral:piRNA from 1 species
UGGUGCUGCUUAUAUAGGCCUAGGGGA